rnacentral:ribozyme from 14 species
UUUUUUUUUUUUUUUUUUUUUUUUUUUUUGGACGGCCACAAUCAAAUUCGCAACACUACACGCAGAUAAAACUGUAAAGAAAAACUGUGGAAUGCGCUGCAU